CCUGGUGGCUCAGAGGUUAAAGCAUCUGCCUCCAAUGCGGGAGACCCCAGGUGCGAUCCCUGGGUCAGGA
rnacentral:tRNA from 1 species